UGAGGAAGUAAUUGCACAAAUGGAGGGAAACUACUGAUGCAGCAACGCCGCGUGGAGGAUGACGCAUUUCGGUGUGUAAACUCCUUUUAUGAGUCAAGAAAAUGACGGUAGCUCAUGAAUAAGCACCGGCUAACUCCGUGCCAGCAGCCGCGGUAAUACGGAGGGUGCAAGCGUUAUUCGGAAUCACUGGGCGUAAAGGACGCGUAGGCGGGAAGCCAAGUCUGAUGUGAAAUCCUAUGGCUUAACCAUAGAACUGCAUUGGAAACUGGUUACCUAGAGUAUGGGAGGGGGAGAUGGAAUUAGUGGUGUAGGGGUAAAAUCCGUAGAUAUCACUAGGAAUACCGAAAGCGAAGGCGAUCUCCUGGAACAAUACUGACGCUAAGGCGUGAAAGCGUGGGGAGCAAACG
rnacentral:rRNA from 1 species